UACAGAGGGUGCGAGCGUUGUUCGGAAUUAUUGGGCGUAAAGCGCUGGUAGGUGGCUUGUUAAGUCGCGUGUGAAAGCUCCAGGCUCAACCUGGAAAGUGCGCGCGAAACUGGCGAGCUUGAGUGUCGGAGAGGAUCGCGGAAUUCCGGGUGUAGAGGUGAAAUUCGUAGAUAUCCGGAGGAACACCGGAGGCGAAGGCGGCGAUCUGGAAGACCGCUGACACUGAGCAGCGAAAGCGUGGGGAGCAAACAGG
rnacentral:rRNA from 1 species